rnacentral:rRNA from 1 species
UACGUAGGGUCCGAGCGUUGUCCGGAAUUACUGGGCGUAAAGAGCUCGUAGGUGGUUUGUCGCGUUGUUCGUGAAAACUCACAGCUCAACUGUGGGCGUGCGGUCGAUACGGGCAUCACUGGAGUUCGGCAGGGGAGACUGGAAUUCCUGGUGUAGCGGUGAAAUGCGCAGAUAUCAGGAGGAACACCCGCGGUGUAGACGGCCUGCCUGGACCACGACUGACGCUGGAGGCACGGAAAGCGUGGGGAGCAAACAGG